UACGAAGGGGGCUAGCGUUGCUCGGAAUCACUGGGCGUAAAGGGUGCGUAGGCGGGUUUUUAAGUCAGAGGUGAAAUCCUGGAGCUCAACUCCAGAACUGCCUUUGAUACUGAAAGUCUUGAGUAUGGGAGAGGUGAGUGGAACUGCGAGUGUAGAGGUGAAAUUCGUAGAUAUUCGCAAGAACACCAGUGGCGAAGGCGGCUCACUGGCCCGUUACUGACGCUGAGGCACGAAAGCGUGGGGAGCAAACAGG
rnacentral:rRNA from 1 species